UUGAUUACGUCCCUGCCCUUUGUACACACCGCCCGUCGCUGCCCGGGACUGAGCCAUUUCGAGAAACUUGGGGACUGCUGAUCCGGUGGCUUUGGCCUCCGCUUCGGUGGAAACCAAUUUAAUCGCAGUGGCUUGAACCGGGCAAAAGUCGUAACAAGGUAGCUGUAGGUGAACCUGCUGCUGGAUCAUUACACGUACCGUGAUGGU
rnacentral:rRNA from 1 species